rnacentral:lncRNA from 1 species
UUUUGGCCUUCGCGAAGCAGACCUCAAAGAAAAUAUCGCAGAAUUUUUGUUUCCGGGUGCGACCUAAAAUUGCCGACGGUUCACAUAAUCGCACCCUUUCCCUCGCGCCAAAAAAACGCAACCUGGAUUCCAUUUCCCUGCUAACAAUUUGUUGCCGACGGUUCACAUAAUCGCACCCUUUCCCUCGCGCCAAAAAAACGCAACCUGGAUUCCAUUUCCCUGCUAACAAUUUGUUUCUAGUUAGGGUUUACAUCAACUAUUUACCCAUUCAUUUUCUCACACAGCCAAGCCACCCCACCCUCUUUCAGUCCAACCAUUCAAAUCCUCA